rnacentral:rRNA from 1 species
CCUACGGGAGGCAGCAGUGAGGAAUAUUGGGCAAUGGGGGCAACCCUGACCCAGCCAUGCCGCGUGAGUGAAGAAGGUCUUCGGAUUGUAAAGCUCUUUCGGACGUGACGAUGAUGACGGUAGCGUCUAAAGAAGCACCGGCAAACUUCGUGCCAGCAGCCGCGGUAAUACGAAGGGUGCGAGCGUUGUUCGGAAUUACUGGGCGUAAAGGGUGCGUAGGCUGUGAGGUAAGUCAGCGGUGAAAUGCCCCCGCUCAACGGGGUGAAGUGCCAUUGAUACUGCCUUGCUGGAAUGCGGAUGCUGGAGGCGGAAUGUGUGGUGUAGCGGUGAAAUGCAUAGAUAGCACACAGAACACCGAUUGCGAAGGCAUCUCACGAAUCCGCGAUUGACGCUGAUGCACGAAAGCGUGGGUAUCAAACAGGAUUAGAUACCCCAGUAGUC